rnacentral:rRNA from 1 species
UACAGAGGGUGCGAGCGUCAAUCGGAAUUACUGGGCGUAAAGCGUGCGUAGACGGUUAUUUAAGUCGGGUGUGAAAGCCCCGGGCUCAACCUGGGAAUUGCAUUCGAGACUGAAUAGCUAGGGUACGGUAGAGGGAAGCGGAAUUUCCGGUGUAGUGGUGAAAUGCGUAGAGAUCGGCAGGAACACCCGUGGCGGAAGCGGCCACCUAGCCCGCACCUGACGCUGAGGCGCGACAGCGUGGGGAGCGAACGGG